AUAGCAUGUUGGUGAACUUUUGUAGUUCAAACGUAUGUUACUUGCAUUACAACUGAAAACUAUACGAUGCAAUUUUUUUUUUUUUUGGCUAGAAAAAGGAAAUUACAAGGAUUUGCCACGACAACCUGGGUUCCAUGCUUUUUCGCUAGCUAUAUUAGUAAACACAUCAGCUACAAAGUUAGCUUCCCCAACCAUUCGCAAAACUGAAUUCAUUGAAAGAAAGAAUCCAAAUGCAUGAUUCCCCUUAAGAUAUGUAGUCAAUGAGGAUUCUGGAGUCACCUUUAACCAUGAUUUUGAGUAGCCCGCAAGAGCAGCGGUACUUUCUGCAGUAACUACAAUGCAAAUGACCAAAAUCACACAAGUCAAUCUGAAGCUUAUCAAUAACUCCUGAAGGUCAGUAAGGAGUCUAAUAAACAAUAAUUAAUGGAAAAAAAAAAAUCUGUGACUUCUAGAUUGUCCUAGAGUGCCAAAUAAUUGGUUUUGAUACGAAAAUGUCGAAUUCUAUGUUUUGGUUUCUUCAAAUAAUUGGUCAAAAUUAAAUUAAAAAAAAAUUGGUUGCCCUAGAAAGCUUUGGUUGAUCUCUUCACAUAAUGUGGCUCAUCGCAAUCUUUAUCCUCUAGAUUAGUUAUAUGUGUAGAAAAUCUUGAUUGACCAAUCAAGUGAAAGAUACUUGAUUUAUACAUAUUCAGGAGGAGGAACAGAUAAACCAAUCAAUAAAACGAUCACUCCAUGCAUCAAGCUGUAAAUAAUGUUAACUUGCCUUGCCUUGAUUUUGCUCACACACAUGCACACGCAUAUUUGUCGGUCUAAUAAACCCACUCUUCAUUCACGCUAUCUC
rnacentral:lncRNA from 1 species